AACAAAUGCUGGCGGCGUGCCUAAUACAUGCAAGUCGAACGGGGAAAGCUUUCGGGUGAGUACUAGUGGCGCACGGGUGAGUAACGCGUGGAUAAUCUGCCUUAGAGUGGGGGAUAACUAGUCGAAAGAUUAGCUAAUACCGCAUAAGACCACAAGAACUUCGGUUCAAGAGGUCAAAGGUUUUUCGCUCUAAGAUGAGUCCGCGUAAGAUUAGCUAGUUGGUGAGGUAACGGCUCACCAAGGCAACGAUCUUUAACUGGUCUGAGAGGAUGAUCAGUCACACUGGAACUGAGACACGGUCCAGACUCCUACGGGAGGCAGCAGUAGGGAAUACUGCACAAUGGAGGAAACUCUGAUGCAGCGACGCCGCGUGAGUGAUGAAGGCCUUCGGGUCGUAAAGCUCUGUCGCAGGGGAAUAACACAAUGAAUGUACCCUGUAAGAAAGGAUCGGCUAACUUCGUGCCAGCAGCCGCCGUAAUAC
rnacentral:rRNA from 1 species